UGCUAUCGGAUUGAUACUAAGCCAUGCGAGUCAUUGUAGUAAUACAAGGCAGACGGCUCAGUAACGCGUAGUCAACCUAACCUAUGGACGGGAAUAACCUCGGGAAACUGAGUAUAAUGCCCGAUAGAACAUUAUGCCUGGAAUGGUUUAUGUUCCAAAUGAUUUAUCGCCGUAGGAUGGGACUGCGGCCUAUCAGUUUGUUGGUGAGGUAAUGGCCCACCAAGACUAUUACAGGUACGGGCUCUGAGAGGAGUAGCCCGGAGAUGGGUACUGAGACACGGACCCAGGCCCUAUGGGGCGCAGCAGGCGAGAAAACUUUGCAAUGUGCGAAAGCACGACAAGGUUAAUCCGAGUGGUUUCUGCUAAAGGAACCUUUUGUCGGUCCUAGAAACACCGAUGAAUAAGGGGUGGGCAAGUUCUGGUGUCAGCCGCCGCGGUAAAACCAGCACCUCAAGUGGUCAGGAUGAUUAUUGGGCCUAAAGCAUCCGUAGCCGGCUCUGUAAGUUUUCGGUUAAAUCUGUACGCUCAACGUACAGGCUGCCGGGAAUACUGCAAAGCUAGGGAGUGGGAGAGGUAGACGGUACUCGGUAGGAAGGGGUAAAAUCCUUUGAUCUAUUGAUGACCACCUGUGGCGAAGGCGGUCUACCAGAACACGUCCGACGGUGAGGGAUGAAAGCUGGGGGAGCAAACCGGAUUAGAUACCCGGGUAGUCCCAGCUGUAAACUAUGCAAACUCAGUGAAUGCAUUGGCUUGUGGCUAAUGCAGUGCUGCAGGGAAGCCGUUAAGUUUGCCGCCUGGGAAGUACGUACGCAAGUAUGAAACUUAAAGGAAUUGGCGGGGGAGCAC
rnacentral:rRNA from 1 species